rnacentral:rRNA from 1 species
AUUGAACGCUGGCGGAAUGCUUUACACAUGCAAGUCGAACGGCAGCACGGACUUCGGUCUGGUGGCGAGUGGCGAACGGGUGAGUAAUGUAUCGGAACGUGCCCAGUCGUGGGGGAUAACGUAGUGAAAAUUACGCUAAUACCGCAUACGAUCUAUGGAUGAAAGCGGGGGAUCGCAAGACCUCGCGCGAUUGGAGCGGCCGAUAUCAGAUUAGGUAGUUGGUGGGGUAAAGGCCCACCAAGCAAACGAUCUGUAGCGGGUCUGAGAGGACGACCAGCCACACUGGAACUGAGACACGGUCCAGACUCCGACGGGAGGCAGCAGUGGGGAACUUUGGACAAUGGGCGAAAGCCUGAUCCAGCCAUUCCGCGUGCAGGAUGAAGGCCCUCGGGUUGUAAACUGCUUUUGUACAGAACGAAAAGGUUUCUACUAAUACUAGGAGCUCAUGACGGUACUGUAAGAAUAAGCACCGGCUAACUACGUGCCAGCCGCCGCAGUAA